GGACGAACGCUGGCGGCGUGCCUAAUACAUGCAAGUAGAACGCUGAAGAGAGGAGCUUACUCUUCUUGGAUGAGUUGCGAACGGGUGAGUAACGCGUAGGUAACCUGCCUUGUAGCGGGGGAUAACUAUUGGAAACGAUAGCUAAUACCGCAUAACAAUGGAUGACACAUGUCAUUUAUUUGAAAGGGGCAAUUGCUCCACUACAAGAUGGACCUGCGUUGUAUUAGCUAGUAGGUGAGGUAAUGGCUCACCUAGGCGACGAUACAUAGCCGACCUGAGAGGGUGAUCGGCCACACUGGGACUGAGACACGGCCCAGACUCCUACGGGAGGCAGCAGUAGGGAAUCUUCGGCAAUGGGGGCAACCCUGACCGAGCAACGCCGCGGGAGUGAAGAAGGUUUUCGGAUCGUAAAGCUCUGUUGUAAGUCAAGAACGGGUGUGAGAGUGGAAAGUUCACACUGUGACGGUAGCUUACCAGAAAGGGACGGCUAACUACGUG
rnacentral:rRNA from 1 species